CACAGAGACUCCAGCGCAGCGAUGUGGUGGAAGAUUUAUAGACACAAAAUGCGAAAUAAGGUACAGAAAUCGGGAUUGAGGUCCUUUGUGCAAAGCUGUGUCCACACCCAAAGUCUGAAGUGGCUCCAUUCACAAGCUUACAUGGAAUUUGGACUUGGUCAUCUUUCAUUUCGAGAAUAUGCGGAUGAAAUGGAAGCUUGGGAAGAUGGGGGGACCUGACCACAAUUACGGCAAGUCCACAUGAUUGAAUCUGUGUCUUGAAAACAGGUCAUCUGAUGCUGGGGAAUGAUUUUUUUCCACCACAGCGUACUUUCUUUCACUUCUCACAUGAUGUAUUUUCUGCAGUUUCCCUUGCUACUUUGGCUUUUUUCUUUUAGUCUGUGGUCAUUGUCAAUAAUUUCUUGGAAGUGACUUGAACCGUGUUCAGCAUUUCAGAUGUGACCUGCCUCACACCACACAUUUUGAUGUCUGCUCAUUGUUUCCAAAUUGCUACAUGAUACUGGUCAAAUUGCUUUACCUCUCUAGUGCUUGGUUUCUUUAUUUUCAAAAGAAGGG
rnacentral:lncRNA from 1 species